rnacentral:rRNA from 1 species
ACGACGCUGGCGGCACGCUUAACACAUGCAAGUCGAACGGAGUUUACGGAGCUUGCUCUGUAAACUUAGUGGCGGACGGGUGAGUAACACGUGAGCAACCUGCCUUCAAGAGCGGAAUAGCUUCUGGAAACGGAUGGUAAUACCGCAUAACAUUACCGGACCGCAUGAUCUGGUAAUCAAAGAUUUAUCGCUUGAAGAUGGGCUCGCGUCUGAUUAGAUAGUUGGUGGGGUAACGGCCUACCAAGUCGACGAUCAGUAGCCGGACUGAGAGGUUGAACGGCCACAUUGGGACUGAGACACGGCCCAGACUCCUACGGGAGGCAGCAGUGGGGAAUAUUGCACAAUGGGCGCAAGCCUGAUGCCAGCGAUGCCGCGUGGAGGAAGAAGGUUUUCGGAUUGUAAACUCCUUAUCUGAGGGACGAUAAUGACGGUACCUCAGGAGAAAGCUCCGGCUAACUACGUGCCAGCAGCAGC